UACGUAGGGUGCAAGCGUUGCUCGGAAUGACUGGGCGUAAAGGGCGCGUAGGCGGCUUGCACCGUCAGAUGUGAAAUUCCCGGGCUCAACCUGGGGGCUGCGCUUGAUACUGAUUGGCUUGAAUGCGGGAGAGGAUAGUGGAAUUCCCAGUGUAGAGGUGAAAUUCGUAGAUAUUGGGAAGAACACCGGUGGCGAAGGCGGCUAUCUGGCCCGUAAUUGACGCUGAGGCGCGAAAGCGUGGGGAGCAAACAGG
rnacentral:rRNA from 1 species